UACGUAGGGCGCAAGCGUUUGUCCGGAAUUAUUGGGGCGUAAAGAGCUCGUAGGCGGCCUGUUGCGUCCGCUGUGAAAUCCCGGGGCUCAACCCCCGGGCCUGCAGUGGAUACGGGCUGGCUGGAGGCAGGCAGGGGAGAACGGAAUUCCUGGUGUAGCGGUGAAAUGCGCAGAUAUCAGGAAGAACACCCGUGGCGAAGGCGGUUCUCUGGGACGGUACUGACGCUGAGACGCGAAAGCGUGGGGAGCGAACAGG
rnacentral:rRNA from 1 species